GAUGAACGCUGGCGGCGUGCCUAAUACAUGCAAGUCGAGCGAACAGACGAGGAGCUUGCUCCUCUGACGUUAGCGGCGGACGGGUGAGUAACACGUGGAUAACCUACCUAUAAGACUGGGAUAACUUCGGGAAACCGGAGCUAACACCGGAUAAUAUAUUGAAUCGCAUGGUUCAAUAGUGAAAGACGGUUUAGCUGUCACUUAUAGAUGGAUCCGCGCCGCAUUAGCUAGUUGGUAAGGUAACGGCUUACCAAGGCAACGAUGCGUAGCCGACCUGGGAGGGUGAUCGGCAACACUGGAACUGAGACACGGUCCAGACUCCUACGGGAGGCAGCAGUAGGGAAUCUUCCGCAAUGGGCGAAAGCCUGACGGAGCAACGCCGCGUGAGUGAUGAAGGUCUUCGGAUCGUAAAACUCUGUUAUUAGGGAAGAACAAAUGUGUAAGUAACUAUGCACGUCUUGACGGUACCUAAUCAGAAAGCCACGGCUAACUACGUGCCAGCCGCCGCCGUAA
rnacentral:rRNA from 1 species